rnacentral:lncRNA from 1 species
GGUCAGCCCAUUUUUACAUUGUGAUAGUUGAAGAUGUAGCAAAAGUAGGGGUUAUUGAAAUAGUACAAGAAAACCCUAACCAACAAUAUACGAAAAUUAAGGGAACUAGUAGAGAUUCAUGUAGUUACCUAUUAAAAAAUACUCAAAUUCGAAAACAAUUAGGAAUAGAAGGACGAAAAUAGUUGUAAGAAUGGUAAUAUGCAUAGUCAGAAACAUGAAUUAAUAUUACAAUGUUGGUUAAUUAU